rnacentral:rRNA from 1 species
CCUACGGGCGGCAGCAGUGGGGGAUAUUGCACAAUGGGGGGAACCCUGAUGCAGCGGCGCCGCGUGGGUGAAGAAGCGCCUCGGCGCGUACAGCCCUGUCAGCAGGGAAGAAAAUGACGGUACCUGAAGAAGAAGCACCGGCUAACUACGUGCCAGCAGCCGCGGUAAUACGUAGGGGGCAAGCGUUAUCCGGAUUUACUGGGUGGAAAGGGGGCGCAGACGGCGAUGCAAGCCAGGAGUGAAAGCCCGGGGCCCAACCCCGGGACUGCGCUUGGAACUGCGUGGCGGGAGUGCAGGAGGGGCAGGCGGAAUGCCUGGUGUAGCGGUGAAAUGCGUAGAUAUCAGGAGGAACACCGGUUGCGAAGGCGGCCUGCUGGACUGCAACUGACGUUGAGGCCCGAAAGCGUGGGGAGCAAACAGGAUUAGAUACCCGAGUAGUC